AAGAAGAUUGUAAUGAAACUAACGAAAGAUGUUUAUUCGUAGAUUGUCAUUGUCACUAGAAAACUGUCUCUCGAGGCCCUAGCCCGCGAAGAUUUUUUUCAAAACCUUCGUGGGCUAAGGUCUAGGGAGAUAUUCGCAUCGGUGAAGAAGAUUGUAAUACAAAUUAUGAAAUAUGUUUAUUCGUAGAUUGUCAUUGUCACUAGAAAACUGUCUGUCGAGGCCGUAGCCCGCGAAGAUUUUUUUCAAAACCUUCGUGGGCUAAGGUCUAGGGAGAUAUUCGCAUCGGUGAAGAAGAUUGUAAUGAAACUAAUGAAAGAUGUUUAUUCGUAGAUUGUCAUUGUCACUAGAAAACUGUCUCUCGAGGCCCUAACCCGCGAAGUUUAUUUUCAAAACCUUUGUGGGCUAAGGUCUAGGGAGAUAUUGGCAUCGGUGAAGAAGAUUGUAAUGAAACUAACGAAAGAUGUUUAUUCGUAGAUUGUCAUUGUCAUUAGAAAACUGUCUCUUUAGGCCCUAGCCCGCGAAGAUUUUUUUCAAAACCUUCGUGGGCUAAGGUCUAGGGAGAUAUUGGCAUCGGUGAAGAAGAUUGUAAUGAAACUAACGAAAGAUGUUUAUUCGUAGAUUGUCAUUGUCACUAG